rnacentral:lncRNA from 1 species
AUGUGUCAUAUUUUUUUAUUCUCAUAUUUAUAGUAGAAAGGAAAAUCUGAGGAAUCAGAGGGAUUAAUGGGGUUAGGCGAGAGAUAUUUUGAGGAGUCGAUUAGGAAUUCGAAAUUCGAAAUCGAAUUUUGAAUCGGUUGUUGGAGGGAUGAUAUUUUCUAGUCAGUUGUGAGUUUAAUAAUUCAAAAUUCGAAUGGAUGUGGUCGUUAGAAGAUAUUUUGGAAGUUGGUUGAGUAUUUGAAAUUGCAAUUUGAAUGGGAAAAAACAUGUAAUGAGGUUGUUGGGAUAAGAAUAUUUUCUAAUUGAAUAUUGAAUUUUAGGAUAUGGAUAUGAGCCGUCAUUGAUUGGGUCCGCUUUGAUGAAAUUUGUUGGGCACAUGUAAUAAUAUUCGUUAGGCUAAAAUAUGGCCCGAAUUAUUGCAUAGGAUAAAAAUUUCAACGGGCUUUCAUUAGGCCCACCAACUCGUAUUCAU